rnacentral:tRNA from 1 species
UUUAAGCAAAAGCCAAAUAAGCGGCGCCUAGCUGUUAAUUAGGAGAUUGUAGAACUAACUACUUGUUUAGAU